rnacentral:rRNA from 1 species
GAUGAACGCUGACCGAAUGCUUAACACAUGCAAGUCUUUGGCGAAGCUGUGCUUGCACCGCCUAGCCAAGGCGGACGGGUGAGUAACGCGUAAGGAACUUGCCCUGCAGUCAGGGAUAACAGACGGAAACGACUGAUAAGACCUGGUAAAGUCAGGCGGACUCAUGUCCAGCCUGAUGAAAAGAGAUGCUGCAGGAGAGCCUUGCGUCCUAUUAGCUUGUUGGUGGGGUAACGGCCCACCAAGGCGAUGAUAGGUAGCCGGCCUGAGAGGGUGGACGGCCACAAGGGGACUGAGAUACGGCCCUUACUCCUACGGGAGGCAGCAGUGGGGAAUAGUGGACAAUGGGGGCAACCCUGAUCCAGCAAUUCUGUGUGCACGAUGAAGGUUUUCGGAUUGUAAAGUGCUUUCAGCAGGGAAGAAAAAAAUGACGGUACCUGCAGAAGAAGCGACGGCUAAAUACGUG